rnacentral:rRNA from 1 species
GGACGGGUGAGUAAUGCUUAGGAAUCUGCCCAGUAGUGGGGGAUAGCCCGGGGAAACCCGGAUUAAUACCGCAUACGUCCUACGGGAGAAAGCAGGGGAUCUUCGGACCUUGCGCUAUUGGAUGAGCCUAAGUCGGAUUAGCUAGUUGGUGGGGUAAAGGCCUACCAAGGCGACGAUCCGUAGCUGGUCUGAGAGGAUGAUCAGCCACAUCGGGACUGAGACACGGCCCGAACUCCUACGGGAGGCAGCAGUGGGGAAUAUUGGACAAUGGGGGCAACCCUGAUCCAGCCAUGCCGCGUGUGUGAAGAAGGCUUUCGGGUUGUAAAGCACUUUCAGUAGGGAGGAAAACCUUAUGGCUAAUACCCAUGAGGCUUGACGUUACCUACAGAAGAAGCACCGGCUAACUCCGUGCCAGCAGCCGCGGUAAUACGGAGGGUGCAAGCGUUAAUCGGAAUUACUGGGCGUAAAGCGCGCGUAGGUGGUUUGGUAAGCGAGAUGUGAAAGCCCCGGGCUUAACCUGGGAACGGCAUUUCGAACUGUCAGACUAGAGUGUGGUAGAGGGUAGUGGAAUUUCCUGUGUAGCGGUGAAAUGCGUAGAUAUAGGAAGGAACACCAGUGGCGAAGGCGGCUACCUGGACCAACACUGACAC